GCAAAACGCGAAGAACCUUACCAGGGCUUGACAUCCCUCUGACCCCUCUAGAGAUAGAGGUUCCCUUCGGGGCAGAGGUGACAGGUGGUGCAUGGUUGUCGUCAGCUCGUGUCGUGAGAUGUUGGGUUAAGUCCCGCAACGAGCGCAACCCUCGUUCUAUGUUGCCAGCACGUAAUGGUGGGGACCCAUAGGAGACUGCCGGGGUCAACUCGGAGGAAGGUGGGGAUGACGUCAAAUCAUCAUGCCCCUUAUGUCUUGGGCUUCACGCAUGCUACAAUGGCCGGUACAAAGGGCUGCAAUACCGUAAGGUGGAGCGAAUCCCAAAAAGCCGGUCUCAGUUCGGAUUGAGGUCUGCAACUCGACCUCAUGAAGUCGGAGUCGCUAGUAAUCGCAGAUCAGCAACGCUGCGGUGAAUACGUUCCCGGGUCUUGUACACACCG
rnacentral:rRNA from 1 species